AUUGAACGCUGGCGGCAGGCCUAACACAUGCAAGUCGAGCGGAUGAAGGGAGCUUGCUCCUGGAUUCAGCGGCGGACGGGUGGGUAAUGCCUAGGAAUCUGCCUGGCAGUGGGGGAUAACGUCCGGAAACGGGCGCUAAUACCGCAUACGUCCUGAGGGAGAAAGUGGGGGAUCUUCGGACCUCACGCUAUCAGAUGAGCCUAGGUCGGAUUAGCUAGUUGGUGGGGUAAAGGCCUACCAAGGCGACGAUCCGUAACUGGUCUGAGAGGAUGAUCAGUCACACUGGAACUGAGACACGGUCCAGACUCCUACGGGAGGCAGCAGUGGGGAAUAUUGGACAAUGGGCGAAAGCCUGAUCCAGCCAUGCCGCGUGUGUGAAGAAGGUCUUCGGAUUGUAAAGCACUUUAAGUUGGGAGGAAGGGCUGUAAGUUAAUACCUUGCUGUUUUGACGUUACCAACAGAAUAAGCACCGGCUAACUUCGUG
rnacentral:rRNA from 1 species